UUGCGCGUUGCACCCUUAUUUCUCAUUUUCUUUCAUUUUCACGAAACUUUUCCAUUUUUCUUUGUUUUUUUCCUUUUUAUCUUAGCCGGCUCUACUGGGUUCUCCGAUCUCUGACGGCGGAGCACCAUACGUGGUAGCCUGAAACUGCAAAUUUCUUUUUUUAUUAUUAUAUUUUGAAAGCUUCUGUUUAAGUUUGUUUUAUUUUUAGGACUCCUAACAAAUUAUUGUAAAAAAAAUACUUUUCAAAUCUGAAAUUUCUAGACCUAAUGAGGAAGAAGGGAGAAAGAAAAAAAGAGAAAGAGAACAAAAAAAAGGAAUGUGAAAAAGAAAGGGAAAAAAAAAAGAAAAGAAAAGGGGGUCAUGGCACCCUGCACGCCCGAGAACUGGUGGUCCGAUGAUGCGUUAUUCGUCAGGGGCCCCGUUUAUUGCGUGCGUGAGGGAAAGUUAUAUAUGGCGUUCUUUAAUCUUGCAUUAAUCUGUUUUACAAAUGUGUUUAGUUCUCUUCUUUAAUCUGUUAUUUGUUCGAUAAUGCUCUCAAAAUGUGUUUGUUGUUUUACUCUUUUGACCUUUUUACUGCUCUUUGUACAUUAUUGUACUCUCAAUUUCGAUUAGUUGAAAGUUUGCAUCUUUUUUAUGUA